rnacentral:rRNA from 1 species
AGGGAUUGCCCUAGUAACGGCGAGUGAAGCGGCAACAGCUCAAAUUUGAAAUCUGGCGCAAGCCCGAGUUGUAAUUUGUAGAGGAUGCUUCUAGGUAGCGACCGGUCUAAGUUCCUUGGAACAGGACGUCAUAGAGGGUGAGAAUCCCGUAUGUGACCGGCCCGCACCUUCUACGUAGCUCCUUCGACGAGUCGAGUUGUUUGGGAAUGCAGCUCUAAAUGGGAGGUAAAUUUCUUCUAAAGCUAAAUACCGGCCAGAGACCGAUAGCGCACAAGUAGAGUGAUCGAAAGAUGAAAAGCACUUUGGAAAGAGAGUUAAAAAGCACGUGAAAUUGUUGAAAGGGAAGCGCUUACAACCAGACUUCUGGGCGGUGUUCCGCCGGUCUUUUGACCGGUCUACUCGCCGUCCCGAGGCCAACAUCAUCUGGGACCGCUGGAUAAGACCUCAGGAAUGUAGCUUCCCUCGGGAAGUGUUAUAGCCUGUGGUGAUGCAGCGCGUCUCGGGUGAGGUCCGCGCUUCGGCAAGGAUGUUGGCGUAAUGGUUGUCAGCGGCCCGUCUUGAAACACGGACCAAGGAGUCUAACAUCUAUGCGAGUGUUCGGGUGUCAAACCCCUACGCGUAAUGAAAGUGAACGGAGGUGGGAAGCGUAAGCUGCACCAUCGACCGAUCCUGAUGUCCUCGGAUGGAUUUGAGUAAGAGCAUAGCUGUUGGGACCCGAAAGAUGGUGAACUAUGCCUGAAUAGGGUGAAGCCAGAGGAAACUCUGGUGGAGGCUCGCAGCGGUUCUGACGUGCAAAUCGAUCGUCAAA